CCUACGGGUGGCAGCAGUGAGGAAUAUUGGUCAAUGGACGAGAGUCUGAACCAGCCAAGUACCGUGAAGGAUGACUGCCCUAUGGGUUGUAAACUUCUUUUAUAUGGGAAUAAAAUGUUCCACGUGUGGGAUUUUGUAUGUACCAUAUGAAUAAGGAUCGGCUAACUCCGUGCCAGCAGCCGCGGGAAUAAGGAGGAUCCGAGCGUUAUCCGGAUUUAUUGGGUUUAAAGGGAGCGUAGGUGGAUUGUUAAGUCAGUUGUGAAAGUUUGCGGCUCAACCGUAAAAUUGCAGUUGAAACUGGCAGUCUUGAGUACAGUAGAGGUGGGCGGAAUUCGUGGUGUAGCGGUGAAAUGCUUAGAUAUCACGAAGAACUCCGAUUGCGAAGGCAGUUCACUGGACUGCAACUGACACUGAGGCUCGAAAGUGUGGGUAUCAAACAGGAUUAGAUACCCCUGUAGUC
rnacentral:rRNA from 1 species